UACGGAGGAUGCGAGCGUUAUCCGGAUUUAUUGGGUUUAAAGGGUGCGUAGGCGGACUGUCAAGUCAGCGGUAAAAUUGAGAGGCUCAACCUCUUCCCGCCGUUGAAACUGGUGGUCUUGAGUGGAUGAGAAGUACGCGGAAUGCGUGGUGUAGCGGUGAAAUGCAUAGAUAUCACGCAGAACUCCGAUUGCGAAGGCAGCGUACCGGCAUCCAACUGACGCUGAGGCGCGAAAGCGUGGGGAUCAAACAGG
rnacentral:rRNA from 1 species